GGGCCUUGUCCUCCACCAUAGACCAGAGAACCCUUCACACCUGCUCAAUCAUAGCCUCCAAAUCUUUAUUCUCCUGCUUCGUGACCACAUCAUUAGGUGUGGGGGUUUAGAAGGGUCGGGUCCCCCCAGCGGUAUCAUCCAUCUGGACCUGAAGAAUCACAUAAUCUCCUAUCUCAAAGCCUCAUCACCGAUCAGCCACUGACCCCCAACCCCCUUGAGCGUCUUGAUCUGGUUCCUGUGACUCGAAAUGAUGAUGUUCUGAUGAAAGAAUCUCGUAUUCUGAUCUCCCUCUCUAAUCCAUUGUACCCUGACUUUUAUCUCCAAAAGACCUCCUCCUGCCUCAGAAGAGAGUGGUGGG
rnacentral:lncRNA from 1 species